UACAGAGGUCCCGAGCGUUGUUCGGAUUCACUGGGCGUAAAGGGUGCGUAGGUGGUGAGGUAAGUCGGAUGUGAAAUCUCCGGGCUCAACCCGGAAACUGCAUUGGAAACUACCUUGCUUGAGGGUUUGAGGGGGGACUGGAAUUCUCGGUGUAGCAGUGAAAUGCGUAGAUAUCGAGAGGAACACCAGUGGCGAAGGCGAGUCCCUGGAAAACACCUGACACUGAGGCACGAAAGCUAGGGGAGCAAACAGG
rnacentral:rRNA from 1 species